rnacentral:misc_RNA from 1 species
GAGAGGCUAAGCACUGCACAG